rnacentral:lncRNA from 1 species
GGGACAGGAAAAAAGGCUGAGUUUGGAGGGGAAUUGCUCACCGCUUUUGCAAAGUGUCUGUGGAAUUAGACUGUGAGUGAGAAUGUGUAUGUGUGUGUUUUUGUUUUCAUCUUUCCUUUUUUUUUUUUUCUUUUUCGUCCAUGACAGAAGGAGAAGGCUGAAGAGGGCAAUCUUUGAGUCAGGGGAGGAGUAUUUUUUUCAUAUAUAAAAGUAUAUACGUGUGUGUGUACGCUGAGAAAAUUAAUAUGUAUUUGCUUUAAGCCUCCCCUGCCUCAGCGAUUUCUUGCUGACGUGCACUGAAAUGCACAGAAUAUCCAGGUGAUGCAGAAACAGUGAAGGACAUGACUCCAGAGAAAACACACACACACACACACAUGCACACACACACUCAUAUAAAAUACCCUGAGGCUGUGUGUUUCUCCUCACUACAGCAGCCAUGCUCCUAUCAAGCCUGAUAUCUGUCCUGUUCACUAAAGCAUGUGACAGCUUUGCAUUCUUACAAGACAUGAUAAAUCUGACUUUACAAGGCGGAGAUCCACUUAUGGACUCUAAUCCCAGGGAUCCUUCAUGUUUGAGAGGUUCGUGUUUGCGCGCAGGAUACUGAUGCAGAAGCGACUAAAAUGUCAUGUCAUCACUUUACAUGUGAUGUCACAUGUGCAAAAUAAUCAGACUUAUUGCAUGACAUGUUUUUGGUGCAACGGGCAGAUCAUUACAGUUGCAUGUUGUAUGCAGGAUUACAAAGUAUUUGCUAGCUGAUUACACAGACACGCUCAGAGUGUAAUUCUGUGCAAACAAUUUAGUGAAGAUGUGCAGAAAAGUCUGAUUUUUGUCACCCAUGAACGGGACUUGAUCUUUAACUUUUGUUUACACAAAGUCUUCCUCCCUUGACUGAACAGCAAAAGCUUCAGGGAAACUAUUUAACUCUUCAUCCUUCAAUCUGCAGAGAGUGCAAGAGUAUACAAAAUUGCAAGCUGGCUAAUAUAUUUAGUUGUUUUUGAGACUGUGCUGUAAAAUAUAUGUGUGUGUGUGUGUAGGUUUGUGUGUGAUUCACGCAUACUUCCCUUAACCUGCCUUGCCAGCAGUGAGUCGGUUGUGGCUUCACUCUGUCUUGACUCCUCUCCCUCCAGGCUCCCAAAUGAUAGGCUGACCUUUCCACCUCGGCCAGGACUGCAGCGUCACUCUCAGCGUGAACUGAAAACUCAUCUCCUGGCUAAACACUUCAUAUUGCUCUCUGCUCAGCUCAGCUUCUGAACUCACCUCUGAUUUGGAUGCUGCAUGACAAAAAGGUCAGAAUGUGCAGUCUUGAGACACAUCCCGGUGUUUGUAGAAUUUACUAUAUUUUGUUUGUAAUUUGGAAAAGCAGACAUGACGAAUGACGCGUAAUUUUUCAAUCAUAAAGAUAGAUAAAGGACAAUACAGGGUAAAUUAAUACCUUACACGUAACUCAAUUUGUCUUGAAAACUGAAUAAUGCCAGUACUCCUUUGUGUCAGCAGCACUGUGUCUAUUUUUGUGUGAUUUUUCUCCUCCUUGUCUGAGUCCCUGGGCAUUUUCUUUUCCAUCCAGGCAUGAAGACAGGAGCCUGUCGAAACCUCAGCUGGAGUCCAUCGAAGGCUGUGUGGCCCGGUCCUGCCCCCAGCAUGGCAGGUCUGCAACAGAGAAACCAUGGAGGAAUAUCCUUUUUCCUUAGGGAAGACGAUCAAGCUCCUUUGGAGCUGACAAGUUACCCAGAGGUGAAAGACAGGAGGAAGAAGAGAGUCAGGAGUAAGUUAUCAAAUCUAAUGUGUUUCUGUUGUGUAUUAAAAUUCUCUCUUGC